AAAUAGGGACAAAUAAAAUGAGAAAGUAUAAUCUUGGUGGGCAAUACAGAGUUAUGUGUGUUCACUGUAAGGGCAGACCAACAAGAAAUUCUUCCUGCUUUUGAACUAUCUCUCUUUCAUGGAGAUAUUUCUUCCCAGUUGCCAGGAAGAAAUUGUGGUAACUGGAGUGAGUAGGGAGGGACAAGGCAUGUUCAUGGUAUCAGGGUCAAGGGUCCCAAAGGACUUAGCUUGUGUUGUGGC
rnacentral:ncRNA from 1 species